UUAUUUGAGUAGACGUUGAUG
rnacentral:piRNA from 1 species